GUUGAAACACUGGUUCCUGUAUGAUCACCAAAGUUAAACAACAUUGAGCCUGGUCAGUACCUAGAUGGGUGACUGCUUGGGAAUACCAGGUACUGUAAG
rnacentral:rRNA from 1 species